rnacentral:rRNA from 1 species
UACGGAGGGAGCUAGCGUUAUUCGGAAUUACUGGGCGUAAAGCGCACGAGGCGGCUUUGUAAGUAAGAGGUGAAAGCCCAGAGCUCAACUCUGGAAUUGCCUUUUAGACUGCAUCGCUUGAAUCAUGGAGAGGUCAGUGGAAUUCCGAGUGUAGAGGUGAAAUUCGUAGAUAUUCGGGAAGAACACCAGUGGCGAAGGCGGCUGACUGGACAUGUAUUGACGCUGAGGUGCGAAAGCGUGGGGAGCAACAGG